AAAAAAAAAAAGAAAAAAAAAAAAGGGGGUUAAAAGGUAUGAUGGAUGUUUGGCAUUACUCCGGCUUGCUAAUUUAUGUGCUAUUUUAUGGUGUGCAACGCUGAUUUUAAGCAUAAAGUCUUAAUUGAGGGAAUGUCAAAAGUACAUGUAAAGGUGAUGAUGAAUAAGAAAAAAAACUAGAGGUUAUUUAAGGGGGGCUACAAAUUCUAGAACUAACAUGAUUUCUCUGCAUGUAUGUAUGUUUGCAUAAUGAGCCCCUUAUUUUUAUAUUUGGACAAAAGUACUAUAAUCCCACUACACUUUUUCAUGAGAGUGGGAUGUAUGAUUGUUUAUAUGAUGAGCCCUUUAUUUUCAUAUUGGGACAAAAAGUCACUUCAUUCAAAACGUCAAACACCACAUUCGUUCUGCCCUGUGUGUUUGUUGCAGA